AGUGAACGCUGGCGGUAGGCCUAACACAUGCAAGUCGAACGGCAGCACAGGAGAGCUUGCUCUCUGGGUGGCGAGUGGCGGACGGGUGAGGAAUACAUCGGAAUCUACUCUGUCGUGGGGGAUAACGUAGGGAAACUUACGCUAAUACCGCAUACGACCUACGGGUGAAAGCAGGGGACCUUCGGGCCUUGCGCGAUUGAAUGAGCCGAUGUCGGAUUAGCUAGUUGGCGGGGUAAAGGCCCACCAAGGCGACGAUCCGUAGCUGGUCUAGAGGAUGGUCAGGCACACUGGAACUUGGGCACGGUCCAGACACCUACGGGAGGCAGCAGUGGGGAAUAUUGGACAAUGGGCGCAAGCCUGAUCCAGCCAUACCGCGUGGGUGAAGAAGGCCUUCGGGUUGUAAAGCCCUUUUGUUGGGAAAGAAAUCCAGCUGGCUAAUACCCGGUUGGGAUGACGGUACCCAAAGAAUAAGCACCGGCUAACUUCGUGCCAGCCGCCGCCGUAA
rnacentral:rRNA from 1 species